CUGCUGGGGAGGUGGCCAGAGCCUUGGGAAAUUGGGGAUAUCCCUCUCCAUGGCCAAGGAAUUAUUGGACCCAUUGAGGGCAGCCUUGUACUGGAACAGGACAAAGUCCUAGGGGUGACUUUGUGCUCCAGGGAAGAGAGAAAAAGAUAUUAUUCAUCUUGAGCCAAGGAGCAGCUGAAGGACUUGCAGCUGAGGCAGUGGCUGCAGCAGCAGGAGCUGUGCCUGGAGCUGGGAAUGCUGGGGGAGAAAACCAGCAAAACCCACUGUGGCCUCCCCCAGAAUGGCAAUUUCCUCUUGCAGGAGCAUUUCAGCAGGUGCAUCUCUGCCCCGGUGGUGAGUGAGGCACUCCCAGGACAAACCCACCUUGGGUUCCUCAGAUGGCCAAGAGAACUUGUCCAAGGAGCAGCUUCCAGCCCUGGGAAGGACAAGAUGAGCAACCAGACCUUGUGUCAAGGAGUUCCAGCAGUGACCAACACAAAACAUACAGGGAGCAGGGCCAGCAAGGGUGCAGCAGGAUGGCAGCUCCUUGGGUUGCUCCUAAUCCUGGACAAAAACUGUUUGGAGUCAUAACUGUGUUAAAACUCCCAUGUUUUAAUGACUUGCAAAA